GGAGAGAUGUCCGAGCGGUUGAAGGAGGCGGCCUCGAAAGCCGUUGUAGGGCGUAAGCUUUACCCUGGGUUCGAAUCCCAGUCUCUCCGCCA
rnacentral:tRNA from 1 species